rnacentral:rRNA from 1 species
AUUGAACGCUGGCGGCAGGCCUAACACAUGCCAGUCGAGCGGAUGAAGGGAGCUUGCUCCUGGAUUCAGCGGCGGACGGGUGAGUAAUGCCUAGGAAUCUGCCUGGUAGUGGGGGAUAACGUCCGGAAACGGGCGCUAAUACCGCAUACGUCCUGAUGGUGAAAGUGGGGGAUCUUCGGACCUCACGCUAUCAGAUGAGCCUAGGUCGGAUUAGCUAGUUGGUUGGGUAAAGGCUUACCAAGGCGACGAUCCGUAACUGGUCUGAGAGGAUGAUCAGUCACACUGGAACUGAGACACGGUCCAGACUCCUACGGGAGGCAGCAGUGGGGAAUAUUGGACAAUGGGCGAAAGCCUGAUCCAGCCAUGCCGCGUGUGUGAAGAAGGUCUUCGGAUUGUAAAGCACUUUAAGUUGGGAGGAAGGGCAGUAAGUUAAUACCUUGCUGUUUUGACGUUACCAACAGAAUAAGCACCGGCUAACUUCGUG